CCUACGGGUGGCAGCAGUGAGGAAUAUUGGUCAAUGGGCGCGAGCCUGAACCAGCCAAGUCGCGUGAGGGAAGACGGUCCUAUGGAUUGUAAACCUCUUUUGUCGGGGAGCAAAAGACGCCACGUGUGGCGUUCCGAGAGUACCCGAAGAAAAAGCAUCGGCUAACUCCGUGCCAGCAGCCGCGGUAAUACGGAGGAUGCGAGCGUUAUCCGGAUUUAUUGGGUUUAAAGGGAGCGUAGAUGGGUUGUUAAGUCAGUUGUGAAAGUUUGCGGCUCAACCGUAAAAUUGCAAUUGAUACUGGCAGUCUUGAGUACAGUUGAGGUAGGCGGAAUUCGUGGUGUAGCGGUGAAAUGCUUAGAUAUCACGAAGAACCCCGAUUGCGAAGGCGGCCUGCUGGACGACAACUGACGGUGAGGCGCGAAAGCGUGGGGAGCAAACAGGAUUAGAUACCCGAGUAGUC
rnacentral:rRNA from 1 species